rnacentral:misc_RNA from 1 species
AGUUAAGUAUAAAUAAGAAAAACAUAUCAUAAGAAAUUAAACGAGCUGAGAGUCAUAGCGAUGGGUGACCUACUCAGGAACGAUUGCGAAGUCGAUUUAAACUUAAAUUUCGAACCGUAAAAUGUAACGCCGCGGUCCUUGGGACCAUUGCGAACACAAUGGAAAAGAGAAAAUCGCGAAAAAGAAUUGUUAAGUUAGUCAAAUAAUUAGG